CUACUUUUGUCGCGUCUUGGUGACCAACUUCCUUGUUCGGGAAGCGUCUGAAAAGGGAAUCCGGUGCAAUACCGGAGCUGUACCCGCAGCUGUAAGCCUUUAUAAACUUUUUGAUUUGCAUGCCACUGUCCAGAGCGCUCUGGGUGGGAAGGCUUCAAAAAGAAGGUGAGCCAGAAGACCUGCCAAUUCAAAAUCAUUUAA
rnacentral:ncRNA from 2 species